rnacentral:rRNA from 1 species
ACUAAAUAGGAUUCCCUCAGUAAUGGCGAAUGAACAGGGAUCAGCUCAGCAUGGAAAUUGGGGCCUCUGGCCUUGAAUUGUAGUCUUGAGAUGGCAUCGCCAGCGGAGGCGCAGAUGUAAGCCUCUUGGAAAAGAGCAUCAAUGAGGGUGAGAGUCCCGUUUGUCAUCUGCAGUCCCCCGUGCACGGCUUGCUUUCUAAGAGUCACGUUCCUUGGGAUUGGAGCGCAAAUUGGGUGGUAAAUUUCAUCUAAAGCUAAAUAUUGGUUCGAGACCGAUAGCAAACAAGUACCAUGAGGGAAAGGUGAAAAGGACUUUGAAAAGAGAGUUAAAAGUGCCUGAAAUUGCUGAAAGGGAAGCGAAUGGAACCAGUUUUUCUUGGCGAGAUUGUUGCGUGCUAAUGUGAUGGCUUGUUGCUUCAACGCAAGUGUUGCAGCGGGUUUUGAUCUGGACGUGCGCGGUGCUUCUUGCCUUGGGUGUCAACGUCGGUUCAGACUUGAGGAAAACUCCAGGGACAUGGUAAGUCACUUCUGGGUGACUGAAAGUGCUUGGCAGAACUCAUUUCUGAACUGAAUUCCGCGUGUCUGGUCGCAGUGCUUUCACUUCCCGUGCUUCGUUCGGAGCUCUCUGGGCUCUGAGCUGGGCUGGGACGUGGGGCAUCUCCCUGACAUCAGUACGAUGACAAAAUGGUUUUAUUCGACCCGUCUUGAAACACGGACCAAGGAGUCUAACAUAUGUGCAAGUUCACGGGUGUUAAACCUGCUUGCGCAAUGAAAGUGACUGCUGGGAUAUUUGCACCAGCAACCGACCAAUCAAUUGUGAGAGGUUUGAGUAUGAGCAUAUCUGUUAGGACCCGAAAGAUGGUGAACUAUGCCUGAGAAGGGCGAAGUCAGGGGAAACUCUGAUGGAGGCUCGUAGCGAUACUGACGUGCAAAUCGUUCGUCAUACUUGGGUAUAGGGGCGAAAGACUAAUCGAA